CUUAAACUAAUGUAACUUCAACUAAUGGACACUCAUACUAACACAAGACCAAUACUAAGCAAAGACCGUUACAAUGCAAGGGCCUCGACUAACUAACUUUACUCUAAUUUAUACUUUUCUCAAUCGUACUUUCCAGAAUCAUAGAAACUUCUUCCCUAAUUAUAUUAUUAACUGUGACCUUCUAGAAGCUGACGUAUGCUAUUUGUUCCACUUAACCUCUUUUUCUGAUUGGAUGACUAAAAUUAACUUGUUUACACUGGUUAGCACUGACUUGACCUGGGCUUUUAGAAUAUGGUCGAAAUAGGUCACAGUUUCGACUCGGGAUACACAUAUAUUC